UUAAUUGACGUACAUUAUCCGCCAGAUGACGCAAAUUGAUGCAAUUUUGUGUAGCAAUCUGUUUAUUCCACCCAACAGCAGAACACCAUGACUUUGUUUUACUUGCUAUUUGGAUUUACUCUCAUACCGGUCCUUAUUUGUGACGAAGAACCAAUAACCGAAGAUUUGCAUGUACUAGACGAAACAAUAGCAAAAUAUGGCCCACUCCAAGACUACCAACAACUGGGUUUACCAGGGCCCGAAAUAGAAACUGACGAGAACAAAUUUUCGCACGCAAAUAAAUUCGAAUUUGAUGAAACGGAUAAUUAUAUUUUGAGGAUUCGUACAAUAACUCCCGACUUCAGUUACAAUGCACGUUAUGAAGAAUCCAUAAUGCAAAAAGAAAACGACAGUUUUGAACAGUUUCCGGUAAUUAAAGGCCAGUUUGUGGAACAUUUUCCCAGAGAAAGUGGAGGUUUUUACAUUCGUACUAUUGGUUACGUCCUCGACGAUAAAGGAUUUCGUGAAUUUUUCUUAGAUCUUACCACAGCUAGAACAAAGUCAGAUGAGCUUCCGAUUCUCGGUUCAGGCAGUGUGCCUAUUUCUUCAACAGUUCUUAUUUCACUGAACGGCGGAAAUUCACUUGGGUAAAAGUUGAACCUAACCGAUUUCGAAUUGAUAUGAUAAUAAAAAUACACCCCUUUCUAUCUCA